UGAUCCAGCCAUGCCGCGUGUGUGAAGAAGGCCCUCGGGUUGUAAAGCACUUUCAGCGAGGAAGAACGCCUAUCGGUUAAUACCCGGUAGGAAAGACAUCACUCGCAGAAGAAGCACCGGCUAACUCCGUGCCAGCAGCCGCGGUAAUACGGAGGGUGCAAGCGUUAAUCGGAAUUACUGGGCGUAAAGCGCGCGUAGGUGGCUUGAUAAGCCGGUUGUGAAAGCCCCGGGCUCAACCUGGGAACGGCAUCCGGAACUGUCAGGCUAGAGUGCAGGAGAGGAAGGUAGAAUUCCCGGUGUAGCGGUGAAAUGCGUAGAGAUCGGGAGGAAUACCAGUGGCGAAGGCGGCCUUCUGGACUGACACUGACACUGAGGUGCGAAAGCGUGGGUAGCAAACAGGAUUAGAUACCCUGGUAGUCCACGCCGUAAACGAUGUCGACCAGCCGUUGGGUGCCUAGAGCACUUUGUGGCGAAGUUAACGCGAUAAGUCGACCGCCUGGGGAGUACGGCCGCAAGGUUAAAACUCA
rnacentral:rRNA from 1 species